GACGUAGGGCGCGAGCGUUGUCCGGAUUUAUUGGGCGUAAAGAGCUCGUAGGCGGCUUGUUGCGUCGACUGUGAAAACCCGCGGCUUAACUGCGGGCUUGCAGUUGAUACGGGCAGGCUAGAGUUCGGUAGGGGAGACUGGAAUUCCUGGUGUAGCGGUGAAAUGCGUAGAUAUCGGAAGGAACAUCAGUGGCGAAAGCGACUUCCUGGACCAAUACUGACGCUCAUGUGCGAAAGCGUGGGGAGCAAACAGG
rnacentral:rRNA from 1 species